UUUUAUUGAGUAUAAUUUAAUCAUUAUUAUCUUAUACUUGCUGGCUUUCAAAGCAUCUUAUGGUUUCAGCCGUAAACUUCUUGAGUGUGUGAAGGAAAAGGCCAGCGAAAUGGACGAAAUCAACAGGCAUGGUGGGCUAGUUAUAGAUGAGAUGAAACUUUCCACACACCUGCACCUCUAAUCUACUACGGAUAUUGAGGGCUUCGUAAACCUGGGCCAGUUCACCGAAGCACAAGACAAGCACACAAAAGCUGAUCACGGCCUAGUUGUUAUGUUUCAGCCUUUCGUGGGGAAAUGGACACAGGUCAUAGGUGUCUUUGCUUCAAAUGGAAACGUGAAGGCACCGACGCUGACAAAAAUAAUUUUGGAGGCAAUUCUUCUAUGCGAGCGAGCUGGUCUGCAUGUGGACUACAUCUGUACUGACGGUGCAUCAUGGAACCGUGCCAUGUGGCAUAGCAUGGGUGUGCGUGGCAAUGCUAAACACGUACGAUGCAAGGUUACACAUCCAUGCGACAAGAAGCGGUUCCUGCAUUUCAUCUCAGAUUUUCCCCAUCUCGUGAAAUGUGUGCGAAACACUAUGAUUAGGCACGGCUUCAACACACACAAAGGCCGAGCUCAUUGGGAACAUGUUGCAACAACUUGGAAGGUUGACAGCAGUGCCUUAACAUUAAAAGUUGCACCCAAGUUGACGCGUUCACACAUAUAUCCAAGUGGAUUUGAAGAAAUGAGGGUAAAUCUGGCCUUCAAUAUUUUCAACAGUGCAGUUGUGCACGCAAUGGACUUUCACAAAGAAAAAAUUUAGCAACAGUACACUAAUCUGGAGCCAACAAGGAUGUUUAUUGACAUGAUUGCUCAAAUAAUUGAAGCCAUGACAUCACGGUUUCCAGCAGAAGCUUUGAGACGUGGCAGUGCUAAAGAAACUGCACUUGACAGCAUGCUAGAAUUUCUUGAUCAAUGGGAGGCCCAUGCAAGAGGGCUCGGCUUCUUAAGCAAGAGCACAUCAGAAGGUCUGCGUGUGACCA